UAGUCCACGCCGUAAACGAUGGACACUUGGUGUUGGAGGUAUUGACCCCUUCAGUGCCGAAGCUAACGCGUUAAGUGUCCCGCCUGGGGAGUACGGUCGCAAGAUUAAAACUCAAAGAAAUUGACGGGGGCCCGCACAAGCGGUGGAGCAUGUGGUUUAAUUCGAUGCAACGCGAAGAACCUUACCUGGCCUUGACAUCUAGGGGAAGACUACCAGAAAUGGUGUUGUCCUUCGGGACUCCUAGACAGGUGCUGCAUGGCUGUCGUCAGCUCGUGUCGUGAGAUGUUGGGUUAAGUCCCGCAACGAGCGCAACCCUUGCCAUUAGUUGCCAGCAUUUAGUUGGGCACUCUAAUGGGACUGCCGACUUUAAGUCGGAGGAAGGUGGGGAUGACGUCAAGUCCUCAUGGCCCUUAUGGCCAGGGCUACACACGUGCUACAAUGGCUGGUACAGGGGGAGGCAAACUCGCGAGAGUAAGCAAACCCCAAAAACCAGUACUAAGUUCGGAUUGAAGUCUGCAACUCGACUU
rnacentral:rRNA from 1 species